rnacentral:rRNA from 1 species
GAAUAUUGGACAAUGGGGGGAACCCUGAUCCAGCCAUGCCGCGUGUGUGAUGAAGGCCUUUUGGUUGUAAAGCACUUUCAGCGAGGAGGAGGCUUGUCUAGUUAAUACCUAGAGAUAGUGGACGUUACUCUCAUCAUAAGCACCGCCUAACUCUGUGCCAGCAGCCGCGGUAAUACAGAGGGUGCAAGCGUUAAUCGGAUGUACUGGGCGUAAAGCGCGCGUAGGUGGCCAAUUAAGUCAAAUGUGAAAUCCCCGAGCUUAACUUGGGAAUUGCAUUCGAUACUGGUUGGCUAGAGUAUGGGAGAGGAUGGUAGAAUUCCAGGUGUAGCGGUGAAAUGCGUAGAGAUCUGGAGGAAUACCGAUGGCGAAGGCAGCCAUCUGGCCUAAUACUGACACUGAGGUGCGAAAGCAUGGGGAGCAAAC